UAAAGACAUGGGACUAUAGCGGACACCAGUACUCCAAGAUGGCGUCGGUCAUACCAUUGAAGGACAGGAAACUUCUGGACGUCAAACUAGGAGAGCUGCCAAGCUGGAUCUUGAUGCGGGACUUCAGCCCUAGUGGCAUUGUUGGAGCAUUUCGAAGAGGUUACUACCGGUACUAUAACAAAUAUAUCAACGUGAAGAAGGGGAGCAUCGCGGGGCUUACCAUGGUGCUGGCAUGCUACGUGGUCUUCAACUACACCCUUUCCUACAAGGAGCUCAAGCACGAGCGGCGACGCAAGUACCACUGAAGAAGACAAGCUCUGCACUCCCCUCCGUGACCUUCUUGGCUUGAGCCCCUCCAUAAGGAACAGUCUCGAUUAUUGCUGAAUCCUUUCAUAUCCUAAUGGAAUUAACCUCCAAAUAAAAGAUGACUGGUAAAAAAAAAAAAAAAAAA